UACGUAGGGUGCAAGCGUUGUCCGGAAUUAUUGGGCGUAAAGAGCUCGUAGGCGGCUUGUCGCGUCGGCUGUGAAAACCUGGGGCUCAACCCCGGGCCUGCAGCCGAUACGGGCAAGCUAGAGUUCGGUAGGGGAGACUGGAAUUCCUGGUGUAGCGGUGAAAUGACGCAGAUAUCAGGAGGAACACCGGUGGCGAAGGCGGGUCUCUGGGCCGAUAUUGACGCUGAGGAGCGAAAGCGUGGGGAGCAAACAGG
rnacentral:rRNA from 1 species